UUGAACGCUGGCGGCAGGCCUAACACCUGCAAGUCGAACGGUAACAGGAAGAAGCUUGCUUCUUUGCUGACGCGUGGCGGACGGGUGAGUAAUGUCUGGGAAACUGCCUGAUGUAGGGGGAUAACUACUGGAAACGGUAGCUAAUACCGCAUAACGUCGCAAGACCAAAGAGGGGGACCUUCGGGCCUCUUGCCAUCGGAUGUGCCCAGAUGGGAUUAGCUAGUAGGUGGGGUAACGGCUCACCUAGGCGACGAUCCCUAGCUGGUCUGAGAGGAUGACCAGCCACACUGGAACUGAGACACGGUCCAGACUCCUACGGGAGGCAGCAGUGGGGAAUAUUGCACAAUGGGCGCAAGCCUGAUGCAGCCAUGCCGCGUGUAUGAAGAAGGCCUUCGGGUUGUAAAGUACUUUCAGCGGGGAGGAAGGGAGUAAAGUUAAUACCUUUGCUCAUUGACGUUACCCGCAGAAGAAGCACCGGCUAACUCCGUG
rnacentral:rRNA from 1 species